CUAUUAACCUUCUGGCAGGGAAAUCAGAAAUGGAUCUGUUUAACUCUUAAAUUUCAUUGACUCUUGGAAAUCAAGAAUUGGAGAUACUGCAAAUGCUGGUUAUAUAUAAUGGGGAAAAUGCAGAUCAAACGGCUGAAAACCUAAAAUUGAUAGAGCCUUGAAUCANCACCCUCCCACCCUAAGCAUCUAUUUACGGAUAUAAACAAGUUCUUUAACAAUUAUUACUUCAAUAAAAAAAAAAUGCAGAUGGGGCACAAUAAAGCAUCUUUACCAAUUUCUGUCGAAGAAGAGCUUCAUCUGUAGAAUGAUCCAAAUCAUCUUCCUACAGUCCUUUGCCAUUUGGAGAGCUGCCAUUGCGAAAGCAAAACUCAUUAAGAAAUUUUUAAAUUCAACAUAAGAUACUUGCAAACUCAAUCUAUAAAAGAAAAGGUGAAAUUAAAAGACAAAUUUUCACAAAUCUUACGGACUGCUCCAACAAGCUAAGCUGAUUCCCGAACGAAAUUGAGGGUGACCCGUGGUAGAACUAAAUGCGCCUGGUUGAGAGGAAUGUUGUGGUGGUGCUCCACGAUCGAGAGGGUGGUCGGAUGUGGAAGUAACUGGGAAAAAAUCAUGACUGCGCUCGCAGUUUUGGAUAGGAAUUGGUGCUGUUUUCGACAAUUCGGUGGGCAGAUGAUGGUCAGAGGUUGUAGAGGGAGGUGAGGAGGUAUCGGUGGUGUGUGGUCCGACGGCUUAGGUGGCGGGUGAUGGUUGUUUUUGAUGGAAGGAGGCGACGAAUUGGAAGCUCAAGAAAGAAGAACUUUAGGAAAAUGGCUGUUUUCUGUGUUUUCAUAUU
rnacentral:lncRNA from 1 species